rnacentral:lncRNA from 1 species
CACUCCAGUGGACCAUAAUCCUGACCGAGCACUAACACAACACAGCAACAUCAUUAGUAGAUUUCCAUAGACAUGGUGGUGUGAUCCAGGAUAGACAGAAUUGCUACAAAUGAAUCCUGGCUUUGUGGCGACUGGAGCUGGCUUGUGAAGGGUGAGAAAUCUGGUGAUCACAGCAGGUUCCUGGGCCAACAUGUUCCUCUCACACAUUGGACUGCAGCUGCCACUGAAGGUGGUGAAGAUAAAUGUGUGUUACUGGAUAGAGAAGCUUCCAGGCUCCUACAGCGUCAAUAACCGCCUCCCUUGCUUCGUCCAGCUGCUGCCAAAGAAGGCAGAGGAUGACAUCUAUGGCCUCCCAUCCAAUUAGUGUACAAGACUGAUGAAGUCAAACAGCUUGUAGGUCACAGACGAGUGCCUCUUUGUCCUGGAUCUUCACCCUUCACCUACAGCGGCACUGUGAUUGGAGCUGGAUGCUCAGGUCAGUUUAAACAGUGAACCACACACAGUUUGUACUCCCACACACACACACACACACACACACACACACAACCACACACAACCACAUACGCACCCUUACCAUCUGAAAAAGCCAGCUCAACUUUUAAUGAGGGACUGAGCAGGGGCAGCAGUGAAGGACGGCAUGUGAAGCCCCCAGUGCGGACCCCUUUUAUCCUCUAAUUAAAGGCGCUUGUGGCUCCCUGGGCUCGUGCGUGCCUCCGCAGCCGCCGCUCCGGG